rnacentral:rRNA from 1 species
UUGGGAAUCUUGCGCAAUGGGCGAAAGCCUGAUGCAGCGACGCCGCGUGGGGGAUGAAGGCCUUAGGGUCGUAAACCCCUUUCAGCAGGGACGAAAAUGACGGUACCUGCAGAAGAAGCCCCGGCCAACUACGUGCCAGCAGCCGCGGUAAGACGUAGGGGGCGAGCGUUGUCCGGAUUUAUUGGGCGUAAAGAGCUCGUAGGCGGUUGCGUAAGUCGGAUGUGAAAACUCAGGGCUCAACCCUGAGACGCCAUCCGAUACUGCGCUGACUUGAAUCCAGUAGGGGAGUGUGGAAUUCCCGGUGUAGAGGUGAAAUUCGUAGAUAUCGGGAGGAACACCAGUGGCGAAGGCGGCGAUCUGGGAAGAUACUGACGCUGAGGUGCGAAAGCGUGGGGAGCAAACAGGAUUAGAUACCCAAGUAGUCCCUGAGCGGGCUGGCAAGGCGCAU